rnacentral:tRNA from 1 species
UCGUGGUUAGCUCAGUUGGAAGCGCGCUCCACUGGAAAUAGAGAGGUGCCUUGUUCGAUACAAGGACUAGAC